UUCAUGUUAGACUCAAUCAAUAAAGCAACAAAAACAGAGACCCUGCAGAGAGCAAGAGAUGAGCCUUUGAAAUACAAAGGAAAAGAAAUAACAGUUCUAAAAUAAAUUCCAAGAAGAUUUAGAGAUUUAAGGAAGGAAUAUCAAUUUUUGACAAAGUGUUUAAUCAAAAAGGGUGUGAAUUUUAGAUGGCUGAUACCAGAGGGAAUAUUGGUGACCUGGCAGGAGCAAAGACAUAGACUAGAUUCAAUAGAGAAGGUGGAACAAUUCUAUGAUAAUUAUUUCAGAUCGCAGGAGGAAGAGAGAAUGAGAGAGGAAG